UCCGCCUGGGGAGUACGGUCGCAAGAUUAAAACUCAAAGGAAUUGACGGGGACCCGCACAAGCAGCGGAGCAUGUGGUUUAAUUCGAAGCAACGCGAAGCACCUUACCUAGCCUUGACAUCUCCUGAAUUACUCUUAAUCGAGGAAGUCCCUUCGGGGACAGGAAGACAGGUGGUGCAUGGUUGUCGUCAGCUCGUGUCGUGAGAUGUUGGGUUAAGUCCCGCAACGAGCGCAACCCUUAUUGUUAGUUGCUACUAUUAAGUUAAGCACUCUAACGAGACUGCCGCGGUUAACGUGGAGGAAGGUGGGGAUGACGUCAAAUCAUCAUGCCCCUUAUGUCUAGGGCUACACACGUGCUACAAUGGCUGGUACAACGAGCAGCAAACCCGCGAGGGGGAGCAAAACUUGAAAGCCAGUCCCAGUUCGGAUUGUAGGCUGAAACUCGCCUACAUGAAGUUGGAGUUGCUAGUAAUCGCGAAUCAGCAUGUCGCGGUGAAUACGUUCCCGGGUCUUGUACACACCGCCCGUCACACCAUG
rnacentral:rRNA from 1 species